rnacentral:rRNA from 1 species
CUGUGAAACAAGAUACAGGCUAGCGGCGGACGGGUGAGUAACACGUGGGUAACCUGCCCAAGAGAUCGGGAUAACACCUGGAAACAGAUGCUAAUACCGGAUAACAACAGAUGAUGCCUAUCAACUGUUUAAAAGAUGGUUCUGCUAUCACUCUUGGAUGGACCUGCGGUGCAUUAGCUAGUUGGUAGGGUAACGGCCUACCAAGGCGAUGAUGCAUAGCCGAGUUGAGAGACUGAUCGGCCACAUUGGGACUGAGACACGGCCCAAACUCCUACGGGAGGCAGCAGUAGGGAAUCUUCCACAAUGGACGCAAGUCUGAUGGAGCAACGCCGCGUGAGUGAAGAAGGGUUUCGGCUCGUAAAGCUCUGUUGUUGGUGAAGAAGGACAGGGGUAGUAACUGACCUUUGUUUGACGGU